rnacentral:rRNA from 1 species
GACGAACGCUGGCGGCGUGCUUAACACAUGCAAGUCGAACGAAAAGAGGGAAAGAGCUUGCUCUUUCCGGAAUUGAGUGGCAAACGGGUGAGUAACACGUAAACAACCUGCCUUCAGGAUGGGGACAACAGACGGAAACGACUGCUAAUACCGAAUAAGUUCCAAGAGCCGCAUGGCCCAUGGAAGAAAAGGUGGCCUCUACCUGUAAGCUAUCGCCUGAAGAGGGGUUUGCGUCUGAUUAGCUGGUUGGAGGGGUAACGGCCCACCAAGGCGACGAUCAGUAGCCGGUCUGAGAGGAUGAACGGCCACACUGGAACUGAGACACGGUCCAGACGCCUACGGGAGGCAGCAGUGGGGAAUCUUCCGCAAUGGGCGAAAGCCUGACGGAGCAACGCCGCGUGAGUGAUGACGGCCUUCGGGUUGUAAAACUCUGUGAUCCGGGACGAAAAGGCAGAGUGCGAAGAACAAACUGCAUUGACGGUACCGGAAAAGCAAGCCACGGCUAACUACGUG